GGCGAGCGUCGCUCGUCACGUGGCUUGUGUUUACAGGUAGCAUGGCAGCGGAGAGCACAGACGCAACACUUUGACCCAAAUUCUGGUCCGCACAGCAGGUAGCUUCUUAGUCUUCGUGCUUAGAAAACGAGAGUUUAGGCCGGUUAGCUGCCUUGAAGAGAAAACUGUGUUUAUCUGAGUCAACUUUUCAAAAGCAUUCAGCAGUCCCGUUCCGUGGCGGAAAGAGGAAUUUAAGGAGGCUAUUCAGUCUUUCAAGAAUGAGACUUCCAGACCCACUGGUCCUGCAGUUCUUUGGAAAAAAACUGCCCAAGCCAUCCGCUCUGUGGUAAAUGUGGCUGCCCACUGCCCUGAUGGAGAAACUACAAUCGCACCUCCUGCACCUCGAACACGUUCCCCCAUGUACUGCAGAG